UACGGAGGAUCCGAGCGUUAUCCGGAUUUAUUGGGUUUAAAGGGAGCGUAGGUGGAUUGUUAAGUCAGUUGUGAAAGUUUGCGGCUCAACCGUAAAAUUGCAGUUGAAACUGGCAGUCUUGAGUACAGUAGAGGUGGGCGGAAUUCGUGGUGUAGCGGUGAAAUGCUUAGAUAUCACGAAGAACUCCGAUUGCGAAGGCAGCUCACUAGACUGCAACUGACACUGAUGCUCGAAGGUGUGGGUAUCAAACAGG
rnacentral:rRNA from 1 species